ACAGAAACAAAAAGGACCACGAAGGGUCGGAACUGUGGGUAGGAAGUAAUAACCAGGGGGGGUAUUUCACGAAGUGGGGUUAGCAAACUCUGGGUUUAAACUUGAACUCUGAGUUGAUUAACUCUGAGCUGUCAAACUCCGAGUUUUUGGUUUCAGAACAGGUGAUAAUUCUGAGUUCAAUUAACCCUGAUUGUCGCACGUGCACAAGCACAUGAAAAGGCCCUAUCAAUGGCAUCCAGAGAAAAUUAUUCACCAUGGCAACACAGGGAAACAAAUCUCGCACUUCCAAUUUCACACCAGUGGAGCUUGAACUAUUUAUGCUGAAUAUGAGCAUGCCAUAUCAAAAAAAGGAAACACAGUUACUGCCACGAAAGAACGGGAACAAGCGUGGCAGAAAAUAGCUGACCGAGUGAAUGCUUGUAACCUAGCAGGCAUAAAGCGCACUUGGCAGCAAAUAAAGAUGAAGUAUAAAAAUAUAGUACAAACAGGUAAGCACUGGACCAUUGGGAGGCUUUGCUUGUCUAUAAGACACAAAAGCUACAGUUUCAUCUUAAAUCUGGCAGCAUGUAAUAUUGUUUAAAUCUUUUUACAAGGUUCUAAAUGUGGGCUUGGGUGCGUAUGUUUACACUUUACCUACAUAUUGGCCAAUAGGAAAAAGGCAGAGGCCCGAAAAACAGGUGGGGGUCCACCGCCAUCACCACUCACAGAGGCUGAAGAGAUGGCUCUCAGCCAAAACACUGGCCGGCCCAUGGCUGAUGGCAUCCCUGGAGGAAGCUCCUCCAAUACAGCCAUGCCCCAGGACAGAAGUUCUUACAUAAGAAUUACUGAUGGAGUAAUCUUUGUUGUGGAACCGCCAGACACCCAUGAAAUGGUACAUACUCUUCUCGAGAUUUUUCAUACCAUGUCUUUCAUUAUUGGUGUAUGCAAGUAAGAGAUAAUAUUCACCUUCUCAGCUGUCACAGGGAGGGAAGAUGUAGAUCAGCCUAUGGUAUACACUUUCUAACUAAUACGUCAUGUAAGUGAUGCACCAUUUUAAAACAUUUAUCCUUUCUUCACAGAGCAAUCCAGAAAAUCGCCAGGCUGAGACGACUGCAGCCACAGCCACAGCACAGCUUACCUCUCUCCCUGUAAAGCAGUUGUACAAAAUAUACCUUGAGAAACAAAUUGAAAAAUCGGAUCUGGAAAUGGAACACAUUAAACAAAAAAUGCAGAAAACCCAAACAGAAAUACAAAUAUUGGAACAUCAGUUAAAGGUGGGUAAUGGCACAAGUUGA